rnacentral:rRNA from 1 species
UACGUAGGUGGCAAGCGUUAUCCGGAAUUACUGGGCGUAAAGCGCGCGUAGGCGGGUUUGUAAGUCUGAUGUGAAAGCCCCCGGCUCAACCGUGGAGUGUCAUUGGAAACUGGAGAACUUGAGUGCAGAAGAGGAAAGUGGAAUUCCAUGUGUAGCGGUGAAAUGCUCAGAGAUAUGGAGGAACACCAGUGGCGAAGGCGACUUUCUUGUCUGUAACUGACGCUGAUGCGCGAAAGCGUGGGGAUCAAACAGG